rnacentral:rRNA from 1 species
GGGUGUAGCGUACCUACUAGCCUACGACGGGUACGGGUUGUGAGAGCAAGAGCCCGGAGAUGGAUUCUGAGACACGAAUCCAGGCCCUACGGGGUGCAGCAGGCGCGAAAACUUUACAAUGCUGGAAACAGCGAUAAGGGAACCUCGAGUGCCAGGUUACAAAUCUGGCUGUCGUGAUGCCUAAAAAGCAUUGCAUAGCAAGGGCCGGGCAAGACCGGUGCCAGCCGCCGCGGUAACACCGGCGGCUCGAGUGGUAACCGUUAUUAUUGGGUCUAAAGGGUCUGUAGCCGGCCGGAUAAGUCUCUUGGGAAAUCCAGCAGCUUAACUGUUGGGCUUUCAGGAGAUACUGUCUGGCUCGAGGCCGGGAGAGGUGAGAGGUACUUCAGGGGUAGGGGUGAAAUCUUGUAAUCCUCGAAGGACCACCAGUGGCGAAGGCGUCUCACCAGAACGGACCUGACGGCAAGGGACGAAAGCUAGGGGCACGAACCGGAUUAGAUACCCGGGUAGUCCUAGCCGUAAACGAUACUCGCUAGGUGUCGGCCACGGUGCGACCGUGGUCGGUGCCGUAGGGAAGCCGUGAAGCGAGCCACCUGGGAAGUACGGCCGCAAGGCUGAAACUUAAAGGAAUUGGCGGGGGAGCACCACAACGGGUGGAGCUUGCGGUUUAAUUGGAUUCAACGCCGGAAAUCUUACCGGGACCGACAGCAAUAUGAAGGCCAGGCUGAAGACUUUGCCGGAUUAGCUGAGAGGUGGUGCAUGGCCGUCGUCAGUUCGUACUGUGAAGCAUCCUGUUAAGUCAGGCAACGAGCGAGACCCACGCCCACAGUUGCCAGCGUACUCUCCGGAGUGACGGGUACACUGUGGGGACCGCCGCUGCUAAAGCGGAGGAAGGAAUGGGCAACGGUAGGUCAGUAUGCCCCGAAUAUCCCGGGCUACACGCGAGCUACAAUGGUUGGUACAAUGGGUAUCUACCCCGAAAGGGGAUGGGAGUCUCCUAAAACCAAUCUUAGUCCGGAUUGAGGGCUGCAACUCGCCCUCAUGAAGCUGGAAUCCGUAGUAAUCGCGUUUCAACAGAACGCGGUGAAUACGUCCCUGCUCCUUGCACACACCGCCCGUCAAACCACCCGAGUAGGGUCUGAAUGAGAGCGCUUCCUCUGGAGGCGUUCGAAUUUGGGCUUUGCAAGGGGGGUUAAGUCGUAACAAGGUA